rnacentral:rRNA from 1 species
CCUGAUGGAGGGGGAUAACUACUGGAAACGGUAGCUAAUACCGCAUAACGUCGCAAGACCAAAGAGGGGGACCUUCGGGCCUCUUGCCAUCGGAUGUGCCCAGAUGGGAUUAGCUAGUAGGUGGGGUAACGGCUCACCUAGGCGACGAUCCCUAGCUGGUCUGAGAGGAUGACCAGCCACACUGGAACUGAGACACGGUCCAGACUCCUACGGGAGGCAGCAGUGGGGAAUAUUGCACAAUGGGCGCAAGCCUGAUGCAGCCAUGCCGCGUGUAUGAAGAAGGCCUUCGGGUUGUAAAGUACUUUCAGCGGGGAGGAAGGGAGUAAAGUUAAUACCUUUGCUCAUUGACGUUACCCGCAGAAGAAGCACCGGCUAACUCCGUGCCAGCAGCCGCGGUAAUACGGAGGGUGCAAGCGUUAAUCGGAAUUACUGGGCGUAAAGCGCACGCAGGCGGUUUGUUAAGUC